AGCUCGAAAAACUUUCUAGUUUAAAUACAGCUUUGAGCAGUAAAUGGGGCAUGAGCUGGUAUGGUCGAGCGGCUAGAGGUUUUUACUUCUAACCUAGAGAUCAGUGGAUCGAAUCUCGAGGCGGUAAGCAGCUGUUUUUGGCUUCGAAAGUAAGUAAACACGAAAAUAUACCUGUAAUUAUGUAAACAUUGAAGUCAAUGAGAAAAUUCUAGGUAGACCGGCAAUCCAGCAAUCUGUCAUCUGGUUGUCAGAGCAAUCUGUCAAUCGGAUUUUUUUUCGGCGCGUAGAAGUUCCUUGAUAUUCUCUUAGAGGCUGAAUAGCGUUCUCUACAGCCACCUGAACGAACUUCAAAGUAGCUUUAAGAACUUAAAUUUUGGGCUGAUUAGCAUUCUCUAGGACCACCUGCAGAAGCUGAUUAAGCUUCUAUGGUACCUCUUUAUGGAACUUUUGGUUGCUUGGGCAGUUCACCAGUAGUGAAUUUCAACAGUUUUGUGACGACAACGGAAUCCAACACAUUACCACCGCUCCGUUCCACCCUCAAUCGAAUGGGCAAGCAGAGAGGUUCGUGGACACGUUCAAGAGAGCUGUGAAGAAAAUUAGCGGCGGAAGGGGAUCCAUCGAAGAAGCUUUAGACAUUUUCCUUUUAACUUACCGUUGUACACCAAAUCCACAGGUAACAAACGGCACCUCUCCGUCUGAAGCUAUGUUUGGUCGUCGCAUCAGGAUGAAUCUUGACUUACUACGCCCACCUACGAGGCCACCAGAAACAAAAAUUGAUCAGUGUUCUUUAAAACGAAAAUUCGACAUCCACGAUUUGGUCUACGCUAAGGUGUUCAGCAACAACAAAUAUCGUUGGGCGCCAGGCAUCGUAUGCAGCAAGGUUGGGCGAGUCAUGUACACAGUGUUCAUCGAAGAAAGCCGGAUGAUUCGGUCACACGCAAAUCAGCUUCGAAGCCGUACCGAACCAGAUACGAGUGGUGAACCAAAAAGAGCUCAGCAGAAUUUGCCUCUCGACGUUCUACUGGACUCUUGGAAACUACCUGCCAAAGUGUCACCAGAACCAAAUACGUCUACACAACCAACCGAAGCCAGUUUCCAUUUUACACCGAAUCAAUCAAGUUCACUACUCCAAUCAACGAUAGUAGGUGGCUCAGCUCUGUACCCUGAGUCGUCUGUCAUGGAUACAAGUUCAUCAAUGUCGUCGUCAACCACAUCUUCAUCAGCACCGAGUCAAGAAUCCGCUUCCAUGAAUGGCGAGCAAGUUACAUCGGUGCCUACAGAACCACGUCGCUCUUCGAGAGUCCGAAGGCAGCCGCAGUGGUAUCACCCUUACCAUCUCUAUUAAAGCCGGGGGAUGUUGUGGGCGUCUUGCUCUACAAAACCCCUCGAUCAUCUACGCCUCUGAGCUCCGGUGUGACAGCUCGGUCUGUCUCCCUUGCGACGCCACAAGAAGCCAACCACAAAGAAGAAGAAUACAAGAGAAGUGUCUUAUACAAUGAGUUGAAUAAAUCAAGAUCUUCAUCAACCGGAACCUGCAGGGCUCGAGGUCAUAUCAUUGUAAAGAAGGUCACUUUUGUUAGCGUGUCGCCUGCGCUUCCAAAGCAGAAAUCCUCUUAUUUCAACCAAAAUACCCAGAAUCGGCAGAAAACGGCUCCGGUAAUGUGCUGGGACACUGUCUGACGUUGGUAUAAGAAUCUUAUAAUGUGCACAGUGCCGAUACGCCAGCAACGGAGGAAACAUGCAAGUUGAAGACGGUCCCGAGCUAAAAAAAUCCGUUGGGAAGGAUUCUUAAACAUGGCCUAUGAUAGAAGAAUACUAAUCUCUAGAAGAUACGGAACUGCAGGUUACAAUUAAAAACGAGAUGAAAUUCGCGAUGGUGACCUUUUGAAAUGACAGCUCUUUCAGUAAGGCACUCCAUUUAAAUCCAGGAGUCACUUUUGUUUCCAACUAGGCGACGAAGAUGAUAGAUGCGUUUAUUGAAGGCCGAGAAUCCUGAAUACAAUUUAACCCUCUUCAGCAUUACGCCUUACAAAUGCUGCUCGUACGUGACUAUUUGGCGAUUUGAAUGUUUUUUUUUGUGUAAAAAUAAUGAACACAUUAUACAUAUGUAU